CGUAGGUGGCAGGCGUUGUCCGGAUUUACUGGGCGUAAAGGGAGCGUAGGUGGAUAUUUAAGUGGGAUGUGAAAUACUCGGGCUUAACCUGAGUGCUGCAUUCCAAACUGGAUAUCUAGAGUGCAGGAGAGGAAAGUAGAAUUCCUAGUGUAGCGGUGAAAUGCGUAGAGAUUAGGAAGAAUACCAGUGGCGAAGGCGACUUUCUGGACUGUAACUGACACUGAGGCUCGAAAGCGUGGGGGAGCAAACAGGAUU
rnacentral:rRNA from 1 species